rnacentral:rRNA from 1 species
UACGUAGGCCGCAAGCGUUGUUCGGAGUUACUGGGCGUAAAGGGUGCGUAGGCGGCUUUUUAAGUUUGGUGUGAAAUCUCCCGGCUCAACUGGGAGGGUGCGCCGAAUACUGAGAGGCUAGAGUGUGGGAGAGGAAAGUGGAAUUCCUGGUGUAGCGGUGAAAUGCGUAGAUAUCAGGAGGAACACCGGUGGUGUAAACGGCUUUCUGGACCAUAACUGACGCUGAGGCACGAAAGCGUGGGUAGCAAACAGG